GACGAACGCUGGCGGCGUGCUUAACACAUGCAAGUCGAACGGCAAGGCCCUGCUUUUGUGGGGUGCUCGAGUGGCGAACGGGUGAGUAACACGUGAGUAACCUGCCCUUGACUUUGGGAUAACUUCAGGAAACUGGGGCUAAUACCGGAUAGGAGCUCCUGCUGCAUGGUGGGGGUUGGAAAGUUUCGGCGGUUGGGGAUGGACUCGCGGCUUAUCAGCUUGUUGGUGGGGUAGUGGCUUACCAAGGCUUUGACGGGUAGCCGGCCUGAGAGGGUGACCGGCCACAAUGGGCCUGAGAUACGGCCCAGACUCCUACGGGAGGCAGCAGUGGGGAAUAUUGCACAACGGGCGGAAGCCUGAUGCAGCAACGCCGCGUUCGGGAUGACGGCCUUCGGGGUGUAAACCGCUGUCGCCUGUGACGAAGCGGGAGUGACGGUAAUGGGUAAAGAAGCACCGGCUAACUACGUG
rnacentral:rRNA from 1 species